GAUGAACGCUGGCGGCGUGCCUAAUACAUGCAAGUCGAGCGAACAGACGAGGAGCUUGCUGCUCUGACGUUAGCGGCGGACGGGUGAGUAACACGUGGAUAACCUACCUAUAAGACUGGGAUAACUUCGGGAAACCGGAGCUAAUACCGGAUAAUAUAUUGAACCUCAUUGUUCAAUAGUGAAAGACGGUUUUUGUGGCACGUAUAGAUGGAUCCGCGCCGCAUUAGCUAGUUGGUAAGGUAGCGGCUUACCAAGGCAACGAUGCGUAGCCGACCUGAGAGGGGGGUCGGCCACACUAGAACUGAGACACGGUCCAGACUCCUACGGGAGGCAGCAGUAGGGAAUCUUCCGCAAUGGGAGAAACCUUGACGGAGCAACGCCGCGUGAGUGAUGAAGGUCUUCGGAUCGUAAAACUCUGUUAUUAGGGAAGAACAAAUGUGUAAGUAACUAUGCACGUCUUGACGGUACCUAAUCAGAAAGCCACGGCUAACUACGUG
rnacentral:rRNA from 1 species